rnacentral:rRNA from 1 species
GACGUAGGGGGCCAGCGUUGUUCGGAAUUACUGGGUGUAAAGGGUUCGUAGGCGGUGUGGCAAGUCGGGAGUGAAAUCUCUGGGCUCAACUCAGAGUCUGCUAUAGAAACUGCCGUGCUUGAGUGUGGGAGAGGUGAGUGGAAUUCCCGGUGUAGCGGUGAAAUGCGUAGAUAUCGGGAAGAACACCCGUGGCGAAGGCGGUUCUCUGGGACGGUACUGACGCUGAGACGCGAAAGCGUGGGGAGCGAACAGG